AGUGAACGCUGGCGGUAGGCCUAACACAUGCAAGUCGAACGGCAGCACAGUAAGAGCUUGCUCUUACGGGUGGCGAGUGGCGGACGGGUGAGGAAUACAUCGGAAUCUACUUUUUCGUGGGGGGUAACGUAGGGAAACUUACGCUAAUACCGCAUACGACCUACGGGUGAAAGCAGGGGAUCUUCGGACCUUGCGCGAUUGAAUGAGCCGAUGGCGGAUUAGCUAGUUGGCGGGGUAAAGGCCCACCAAGGCGACGAUCCGUAGCUGGUCUGAGAGGAUGAUCAGCCACACUGGAACUGAGACACGGUCCAGACUCCUACGGGAGGCAGCAGUGGGGAAUAUUGGACAAUGGGCGCAAGCCUGAUCCAGCCAUACCGCGUGGGUGAAGAAGGCCUUCGGGUUGUAAAGCCCUUUUGUUGGGAAAGAAAAGCAGCAGGUUAAUACCCCGCUGUUCUGACGGUACCCAAAGAAUAAGCACCGGCUAACUUCGUG
rnacentral:rRNA from 1 species